CAGUCGCCACGGUAAUACAGAGGGUGCGAGCGUUAAUCGGAUUUACUGGGCGUAAAACGUGCGUAGGCGGCUUCUUAAGUCGGAUGUGAAAUCCCUGAGCUUAACUUAGGAAUUGCAUUCGAUACUGGGAAGCUAGAGUAUGGGAGAGGAUGGUAGAAUUCCAGGUGUAGCGGUGAAAUACGUAGAGAUCUGGAGGAAUACCGAUGGCGAAGGCAGCCAUCUGGCCUAAUACUGACGCUGAGGUACGAAAGCAUGGGGAGCAAACAGGAUUAGAUACCCCCGUAGUCCCUGUCUCUUAUAC
rnacentral:rRNA from 1 species